AGCAGCCGCCACGGUAAUACGAAGGGGGCUAGCGUUGCUCGGAAUGACUGGGCGUAAAGGGCGCGUAGGCGGCGGCCAAAGUCAGGCGUGAAAUUCCCGGGCUCAACCUGGGGGCUGCGUUUGGUACUUGGUUGCUUGAGUGGGGAAGAGGGUCGUGGAAUUCCCAGUGUAGAGGUGAAAUUCGUAGAGAUGUGGAGGAACACCAGUGGCGAAGGCGACUCUCUGGUCUGUAACUGACGCUGAGGAGCGAAAGCGUGGGGAGCGAGCAGGAUUAGAGACCCGCGUAGUCCCUGUCUCUUAUAC
rnacentral:rRNA from 1 species